UCCGAUGCUCAAGUCAGUUCUCUGCCUCAACAAGAAUGGAGUGCUCGAACAAAAAUUUUAGCAGAGUUUUGAGAUAGAGAUUAGAGCUUAGAGAAUAACGUAUAUGGGGGUCUCCUUUUUAUAGGCGGAGGGUGUAACAGAUUGACAGCGAUGUCUGUAACUGCCUGGUAGUGGGCCGUUCGGAGCCAUGAGGAGUUUGUUACGGAGAGUAGUGGAGUGG
rnacentral:lncRNA from 1 species